UGCUUGGAUUUUAGUGGUUGAGCAACUAGGGCCUUACAGGGUUCAGAGGCCAAUUGGAAAGGGGACAGCCAAGGAGGCAGGUACUCAAGAAGGUCCUGCCAUAUGAGGAAAUCAUCCUGGGUACAUUUUUACCAGAAAAUAUUUUUUGAGUACCAGCAAUAUGCUAGGCACUGUGUGUAUAAAGUAACAUAAGCAAUAAAAUAAUUGAAAUUUGAAAAAAAAUCUUUUUUUGUAGUUUGUAACUCUCUAACAAAAUUAAUUGCACAUUCAUCCUUUUCCCAUAGAAUAUCAUUUAUUUCCAGUAUAGCAUAUGUUGCACUAUAUUAUGGUCAUUUGCUUCAUUUUGAUUGCCACUGCUAGAUUAUAAUUUCCUUGAGAGGAAACUACUUCUUUAUUUUUAUAAUGGCCAGUGCUUGGCCUAUCAUAGGUGCUAAUUGUUUUUUUUCCUUGAUGCUAAUUUCUUAACUUUCCCUCA
rnacentral:lncRNA from 1 species